GUCCACGCCCUAAACUAUGUCAACUGGUUGUCGGGGAUUAACUCCCUUGGUAACGAAGCUAACGCGUGAAGUUGACCGCCUGGGGAGUACGGCCGAAAGGUUAAAACUCAAAGGAAUUGACGGGGACCCGCACAAGCGGUGGAUUAUGUGGAUUAAUUCGAUGCAACGCGAAAAACCUUACCUACCCUUGACAUGUACGGAAUCUCCCAGAGAUGGGAGAGUGCCCGAAAGGGAACCGUAACACAGGUGCUGCAUGGCUGUCGU
rnacentral:rRNA from 1 species